UACGGAGGGGGCGAGCGUUAUUCGGAAUUAUUGGGCGUAAAGGGCGCGUAGGUGGCCAACUAAGUCAGACGUGAAAUCCCUCGGCUCAACCAAGGAAGUGCAUCCGAAACUGCUGAGCUUGAGUACUUAAGAGGAUCGCGGAAUUCCCGGUGUAGAGGUGAAAUUCGUAGAUAUCGGGAGGAACACCAGUGGCGAAGGCGGCGAUCUGGGAAGAUACUGACGCUGAGGUGCGAAAGCGUGGGGAGCAAACAGG
rnacentral:rRNA from 1 species